GGUUGUGUCUUCAUAGUGGCUCCUGUCGUGUAAACUAACAAAACAGGAACAAGGAGGAGCUCAUAAUUUUGUUCUACGAUGAGCUACUGAGAAUAAUAAGAACCCUGGGCCGUGUUGCAUCAGCUGCGAGGAGAGAGGCGAGCAGUCUGGACAAGCUUGUCUUUUCUUAGUGGCUGUCACGUUGUUUGCAACUAUAUUCUUGUCUGUGAGCUUCUUUAGGAUCAUGUAAGAAAAGACUAAGUGCGUCUGAGUUUAUACUAAAAA
rnacentral:lncRNA from 1 species